rnacentral:rRNA from 1 species
UGGUUAAUUCCAUACCGACUAUGGAGCGUGAUGGGGGGACGCAUAGGGUUAAGCGAGCUAGCUGAUGGAAGCGCUAGUCUAAGGGCGUAGAUUGGAGGGAAGGCAAAUCCACCUCUGUAUUUGAAACCCAAACAGGCUCUUUGAGUCCUUUUAGGACAAAGGGAGAAUCGCUGAUACCGUCGUGCCAAGAAAAGCCUCUAAGCAUAUCCAUAGUCGUCCGUACCGCAAACCGACACAGGUAGAUGAGAUGAGUAUUCUAAGGCGCGUGAAAGAACUCUGGUUAAGGAACUCUGCAAACUAGCACCGUAAGUUCGCGAUAAGGUGUGCCACAGCGAUGUGGUCUCAGCAAAGAGUCCCUCCCGACUGUUUACCAAAAACACAGCACUUUGCCAACUCGUAAGAGGAAGUAUAAGGUGUGACGCCUGCCCGGUGCUCGAAGGUUAAGAGGAUGCGUCAGUCGCAAGAUGAAGCGUUGAAUUGAAGCCCGAGUAAACGGCGGCCGUAACUAUAACGGUCCUAAGGUAGCGAAAUUCCUUGUCGGUUAAAUACCGACCUGCAUGAAUGGCGUAACGAGAUGGGAGCUGUCUCAACCAGAGAUUCAGUGAAAUUGUAGUGGAGGUGAAAAUUCCUCCUACCCGCGGCAAGACGGAAAGACCCCGUGGACCUUU